rfam:Daphnia pulex DAPPTscaffold_80_Cont3895, whole genome shotgun sequence.
CCGCUCGCAAAGUGGCUGUCAUGUGUCCCAAUUUCAAGUUUAGCGUUUCAUAUCACAGCCAGCUUUGAUGAGCGGGA